AUUGAACGCUGGCGGCAGGCCUAACACAUGCAAGUCGAGCGGAUGAAGGGAGCUUGCUCCUGGAUUCAGCGGCUGACGGGUGAGUAAUGCCUAGGAAUCUGCCUGGUAGUGGGGGAUAACGUCCGGAAACGGGCGCUAAUACCGCAUACGUCCUGAGGGAGAAAGUGGGGGAUCUUCGGACCUCACGCUAUCAGAUGAGCCUAGGUCGGAUUAGCUAGUUGGUGGGGUAAAGGCCUACCAAGGCGACGAUCCGUAACUGGUCUGAGAGGAUGAUCAGUCACACUGGAACUGAGACACGGUCCAGACUCCUACGGGAGGCAGCAGUGGGGAAUAUUGGACAAUGGGCGAAAGCCUGAUCCAGCCAUGCCGCGUGUGUGAAGAAGGUCUUCGGAUUGUAAAGCACUUUAAGUUGGGAGGAAGGGCAGUAAGUUAAUACCUUGCUGUUUUGACGUUACCAACAGAAUAAGCACCGGCUAACUUCGU
rnacentral:rRNA from 1 species